UGAGGAAUAUUGCACAAUGGGCGCAAGCCUGAUGCAGCAACGCCGCGUGAGGGAUGACGGCCUUCGGGUUGUAAACCUCUUUUAGCAGGGAAGAAGCGUAAGUGACGGUACCUGCAGAAAAAGCACCGGCUAACUACGUGCCAGCAGCCGCGGUAAUACGUAGGGUGCAAGCGUUGUCCGGAAUUAUUGGGCGUAAAGAGCUCGUAGGCGGCUUGUCGCGUCUGCUGUGAAAACCCGGAGCUCAACUCCGGGCCUGCAGUGGGUACGGGCAGGCUAGAGUGCGGUAGGGGAGAUUGGAAUUCCUGGUGUAGCGGUGGAAUGCGCAGAUAUCAGGAGGAACACCGAUGGCGAAGGCAGAUCUCUGGGCCGCUACUGACGCUGAGGAGCGAAAGCAUGGGGAGCGAACA
rnacentral:rRNA from 1 species